UACGGGGGGGGCAAGCGUUGUUCGGAAUUACUGGGCGUAAAGGGCGCGUAGGCGGCCUACUAAGUCGGACGUGAAAUCCCUCGGCUCAACCGAGGAACUGCGUCCGAUACUGGCAGGCUGGAAUCCGGGAGAGGGAUGUGGAAUUCCAGGUGUAGCGGUGAAAUUCGUAGACAUCGGGAGGAACACCGGUGGCGAAGGCGGCGACCUGGGUCGAUACUGACGCUGAUGCGCGAAAGCGUGGGGAGCAAACAGG
rnacentral:rRNA from 1 species